GUGGGGAAUUUUGGACAAUGGGCGAAAGCCUGAUCCAGCCAUGCCGCGUGCAGGAUGAAGGCCUUCGGGUUGUAAACUGCUUUUGUACGGAACGAAAAGACUCUGGUUAAUACCUGGGGUCCAUGACGGUACCGUAAGAAUAAGCACCGGCUAACUACGUGCCAGCAGCCGCGGUAAUACGUAGGGUGCAAGCGUUAAUCGGAAUUACUGGGCGUAAAGCGUGCGCAGGCGGUUAUAUAAGACAGAUGUGAAAUCCCCGGGCUCAACCUGGGAACUGCAUAUGUGACUGUAUAGCUAGAGGACUGCAGAGGGGGAUGGAAUUCCGCGUGUAGCAGUGAAAUGCGUAGAUAUGCGGAGGAACACCGAUGGCGAAGGCAAUCCCCUGGGCCUGUACUGACGCUCAUGCACGAAAGCGUGGGGAGCAAACAGGAUUAGAUACCCGGGUAGUCC
rnacentral:rRNA from 1 species